rnacentral:misc_RNA from 1 species
AACGCACCUUGCGCUCCUUGGUAUUCCGAGGAGCAUGCCUGUUUGAGUGUCAUUAAAUUCUCAACCUUAACAGUUUUGUUACAAACCUGUGUAAGGCUUGGAUAUGGAGGUUUGCAGGUCCACUACCAUGGUCUGCUCCUCUGAAAUGUAUUAGCGGGUUAAGCUCCCGUCUAUUAGUGUGAUAAUUAUCUACGCUAUAGAUGUGGUAAGCUAUAAUUGACCAGCUUCUAAUCGUCUUUCGAGACAACUUUUGACAUUUUUGACCUCAAAUCAGGUAAGACUACCCGCUGAACUUAA